rnacentral:rRNA from 1 species
ACUCCUGCGGGAGGCAGCAGUGGGGAAUAUUGGACAGUGGGCGCAAGCCUGAUCCAGCCAUGCCGCGUGAGUGAUGAAGGCCCUAGGGUUGUAAAGCUCUUUCACCGGUGAAGAUAAUGACGGUAACCGGAGAAGAAGCCCCGGCUAACUUCGUGCCAGCAGCCGCGGUAAUACGAAGGGGGCUAGCGUUGUUCGGAUUUACUGGGCGUAAAGCGCACGUAGGCGGACUAUUAAGUCAGGGGUGAAAUCCCGGGGCUCAACCCCGGAACUGCCUUUGAUACUGGUAGUCUUGAGUUCGAGAGAGGUGGGUGGAAUUCCGAGUGUAGAGGUGAAAUUCGUAGAUAUUCGGAGGAACACCAGUGGCGAAGGCGGCUCACUGGCUCGAUACUGACGCUGAGGUGCGAAAGCGUGGGGAGCAAACAGGAUUAGAAACCCUGGUAGUCCCA